rnacentral:rRNA from 1 species
GAUAGUGAGAGUCGCGGAAUGGGGGUGUAGCGUGAAUGCGUAGAGAUCCCCAAGAACACCAGUGCGAAGCGGCGACUGGACACAUAUGACGCUGAGGCUCGAAAGCAUGGGGAGCAAACAGGAUUAGAUACCCUGGUAGUCCAUGCCAUAAACGAUGAAUACUAGGUUUUGGGCCCGUCAACGGUCCAGAGCCGCAGCUAACGCGUUAAGUAUUCCGCCUGGGGAGUACGGUCGCAAGACUGAAACUCAAAGGAAUUGACGGGGGCCCGCACAAGCGGUGGAGCAUGUGGUUUAAUUCGACACAACGCGAAGAACCUUACCAAGGCUUGACAUGGGACCGACCGGACGAGAGAUCGUCCUUCUCCCGCAAGGGAGCGGUCCACACAGGUGCUGCAUGGCUGUCGUCAGCUCGUGUCGUGAGAUGUUGGGUUAAGUCCCGCAACGAGCGCAACCCUCGUUUCUAGUUGCCAUCAUUCAGUUGGGCCCUCUAGAGAGACUGCCGCGAAUAACGCGGAGGAAGGUGGGGACGACGUCAAGUCAUCAUGGCCCUUACGUCUUGGGCUACACACGUGCUACAAUGGAUGUUACAAAGGGUCGCAAGAGCGCAAGCUGGAGCCAAUCCCCAAAAGCAUCCUCAGUUCAGAUUGAGGUCUGCAACUCGACCUCAUGAAGGUGGAAUCGCUAGUAAUCGCGGAUCAGAACGCCGCGGUGAAUACGUUCCCGGGCCUUGUACACACCGCCCGUCAAGCCACGAAAGGAGAGAGCGCUCUAAGUCGCUAA